CAGGUGUAGGAGCUGUGCACUAUACAUACAGGUGUAGGAGCUGUGCACUAUACAUACAGGUGUAGGAGCUGUGCACUAUACAUACAGGUGUAGGAGCUGUGCACUAUACAUACAGGUGUAGGAGCUGUGCACUAUACAUACAGGUGUAGGAGCUGUGCACUAUACAUACAG